CACCCAGAGAAAGGAGGACAUCCACACAGUAUUCCAACUGACCAGAGAAUGAGCUUUAAGAAUGGUACUGCAGCAUGAAAGUUUGGACUACAUCUCAAGAAUUUUAAGAAAUGAAGCAUUAAGAAAAACACUAACUUCAUCAGUGCAAGAAAAUGUCCCAAAUGGAGCAGAAAAUGUACAUACUCUUGUUCUUGUUCGUUAGAGAGCUGUAACAGGAGACACAUACCCACUUCAGUACAACUGAAGCAGUGAAAAAUCACCCAGUUAAGAGCAGCAAUGACGCAUCUUCAGAAGACCGGCUCUGUGGAGUGGACAGGCGAACGAGACGACAGAACGUCAAAGUCAGGACACGAACAAGCAAGACAAGCCGACUGCAUGGAAGAGUCGACAACGUGAUCUUAGACUGAGGGAUGGAGCGCCUCUUACAGAGCUGGAAGCCCUCGUCAGGACACUGGGAGAUCGAUUCGUAGGGAGAUGAUACGGCUCAUGACUAAGCUGCCGUCUCACUCUGAUCACACUGUCGCUUCCGCUUUCUCUCUCACGCUUUCUCUCUCUCUCUCCCUUCAUUUCUCUUUCCCUCCCUUUCUCUCUCCUCCCUCGUCUCGUGAUUGCUUUGCGCUGGUAGCGAGUUUUGCUGUGCGAUAUGGUCCACUGUACUGUUUCGCAUCGUUUGUUAUCUUAUUCACUGCAGCCUUCUCGGACAGAUGAUCUCAAUGGAACUCACCUGAUUAAACAAAAGUUUAAAAAAAUACAAAAAUCUAUAAAAUUUAAAAACAUUUAUGAACAGAACAUGACAUUUUACUCCUCUGAAGUGCAAGCCUCCUUCAUCUGCAGCUCCUGUGAAUCAUCGCCAGAGGACCAGGGACAGGUUCUCCCUGACGGAUGGUUCACAAAGGCCUGGUCCCUGAGCAGAGAACUGUGUGGGAGGGCCUCUUUCAGAUGUACCGCUGAAGCUUAAUGAGUCUUUUACUGGGUUCUGAAUGCUGCCCGUUGAUUACAAGUGAAUAAACUGGGUUCUCUCCAAAUGCCUUCUGACCGCAAGCAAUUACUGUCACCCUCAAAUGUGAGGGGUGUCGGUGUGUAGUAAAGUUCCCUGUAGGAUGAUAUGAUACGAGGAUAUGAGAUUAACAAAUUCACACAUAUAUACUGCCAAAAAUGCUUAUGCACAGUUCAAAUGUUGGAUACAUUAACACCCCCAUUUGAAAUGGUUGAACAACAAAUAUCCAGUUGUAUUACAAAAGUAUUACAAAAAUGGUCACUGGACACUAAUUGCUAUAACAUAGAGAACCACACUACAAUGCAAUAUUAUUUUUUUUAUUACAUUAUUUCAUUGGCUAGGUCAGAAAGACACAGUUGAUACCUUUAUUUAAUAUCAAUAAAACCAAUUCCAAAAUAGAUGUAAACAAACGGAUGAAUUAUUUAAAGACAGGAUAAAAUUGGCGAUGCUAGGAGAUAUAAAUUAAAUAAAUUAUAUAAAUUAAACGUUCUGAUACUGCUCGGAAGCUUAAAUAAGAAUUGAUGACAAGACUAUUUUGCUGAAGGGUGUUAAAUUCACACAGUAUUCAGUAUGUCAGGAGCCACACAGUGUGUGGUGAAUCGAUGGCCUCAGCGUUCCAGGAUUAAUGCUCGCUCACCAUCACACUACGACAUGAAAAUGCAUUUUAAUUAAAGCGUUCAUGAAAUAAAACAUUGCAGCGAAUGCAUCUAUGCAAGACUGACAAAUUUAGCUAAAAAUACCAUCUCCGUCUGUGGCCAAUAAGUGCACACGAAGCCUCCAGAAAUAAACCGACUGACGUUGGUAAAACGAGCUAUAGCCAUAACUGUAUCGGACAGGGUGUGUUUGCACUGAAACCCUGUGUCCUCCCUGUACUUGUGUAGUGUGUGUUAAUGUGUUCAGCUGUGUGUCUGCCGGCCCCUAGAACCGAAUCUCCACAGAGGAAAUGACUCAGUUUCCAGGCAGUCAACACAGCCCGACGACGGGACAGCCUGAUCAAACGGAGCUCUCAAAGUGGAUCAAGUCUGACCAAGGGAGGUGUCAAACCGGAUCAAGGGUUCAAUUUAAUGUGCGUUUGCAUAUGGAUGGUUCCUACACGCCUCCUUUCAGAUGCGGGGGCAUCGCUUUGAAUGUGAAACGGUUAUAAAUCACACCGAGAAAGGCUUGAAGUGGUGUUCAUUUAACAUGUAAAUCUACUCAAAAGUGUGCUCUGCAUUGAUUACCAAUACCGUCCUUCUUGACCGGGCCCCUCACAAGCAAUUCCUAGCAGUGGUCAGAAAUGCCACGUUUUCAGCCAAUAAAUCUCAUUCUCCUCAGGAUGUUGCAUGAUAUUGCGUUAUGUUGAUAAAAUGAAAAGGCAGUCUCCAGCUGGUGUGAAUUACGGAGGAUAUGAGGGAAUGGAGGGGGUGUCAAGGCUGUUGGGUUGGCAUCACAGCAAGGCUCUAGGGCAGAGAAGCUGGAUCGCUGCUUGCUCCAGGGUCUGAUUCAAGCUACACAGCUGUACGGGAAUUUCCUUUGCUGACAACAUCUGCAUUGCAUCUUACUUUGAAUGAAAGUUUGUGCAUUCUUAGUUAAAGCUCAUCAAGUCCAGGACAGUCUUCUUGAAAAGAUCCUCUUUUAUAACCCGUUUAAAAAUCAAUCUGUUACUGUCACUUUGCUUUGCAUUUUCUAUUACGCGCAUUUUUCUCAAUUAUUUUGCCCUAGUUUAAAAUUUCUGAA